rnacentral:snRNA from 10 species
UCGCUGGCAUCACCUGCAUCUUAGGCCUUGCAGGCAACAAAACAAUAAGCCGAGGCUCCUCGAGCGGCGGCGCGGCAAGCUGCUGGAAGCCGUCAACGGG